UGUAAAAUUUUUAUAGUCGAACAGACUAAAUUUAUAAACAUCUACAUUUAUAAUUAAUUUUAAUUCAACAUCGAGGUCGCAAACAAUUUUUUCAAUUUGAUCUUUCCAAAAAUAUUACGCUGUUACCCUAAGGUAAUUUAUUCUUUUAUUAUAUUAUAUAAUAUAUUUCAAUUAAAUCUCUAUAAAUAAUAUUUUCAAAAUUUUAAAGUUAAUUAAAUAUAAAAAUCCUCCCAACUAAAUAUAUAUUAUAAUUAUAAAAUUCACAAUAUAUAAAAUUCUAUAGGGUCUUAUCGUCCCUUAAAUUAAAUUAAGCAUUUUAACUUAAAAUUUAAAUUUAUUUUAUAUAAUCGAGACAGUUUAUAUUUCAUUAAUUCAUUCAUUCCAGCCUUCAAUUAAAAGACAAAUGAUUAUGCUACCUUUGUACAGUUAAAAUACUGCAGCUAUUUAAUUUUUCAUUGAGCAGAACUGACUUUAUAUUAAAAUCAAAAAGAC
rnacentral:rRNA from 1 species